GACGAACGCUGGCGGCGUGCUUAACACAUGCCAGUCGAACGGAAAGGCCCUGCUUUUGUGGGGUGCUCGAGUGGCGAACGGGUGAGUAACACGUGAGUAACCUGCCCUUGACUUUGGGAUAACUUCAGGAAACUGGGGCUAAUACCGGAUAGGAGCUCCUGCUGCAUGGUGGGGGUUGGAAAGUUUCGGCGGUUGGGGAUGGACUCGCGGCUUAUCAGCUUGUUGGUGGGGUAGUGGCUUACCAAGGCUUUGACGGGUAGCCGGCCUGAGAGGGUGACCGGCCACGUUGGGACUGGGAUACGGCCCAGACUCCUACGGGAGGCAGCAGUGGGGAAUAUUGCACAAUGGGCGGAAGCCUGAUGCAGCAACGCCGCGUGCGGGAUGACGGCCUUCGGGUUGUAAACCGCUUUCGCCUGUGACGAAGCGUGAGUGACGGUAAUGGGUAAAGAAGCACCGGCUAACUACGUG
rnacentral:rRNA from 1 species